GAUGAACGCUGGCGGCGUGCUUAACACAUGCAAGUCGAACGAGAAUCAACGGAUUGAGGAUUCGUCCAAAUGAAGUUGAGGAAAGUGGCGGACGGGUGAGUAACGCGUGAGGAACUUGCCUCGGAGUGGGGAAUAACAGUUGGGAAACAGCUGACUAAUACCGCAUAAGCCCACAGCUCGGCAUCGAGCAGAGGGAAAGGAGUGAUACCGCUUUGAGAUGGCCUCGCGUCCGAUUAGCUAGUUGGUGAGGUAACGGCUCACCAAGGCAACGAUCGGUAGCCGGACUGAGAGGUUGAACGGCCACAUUGGGACUGAGACACGGCCCAG
rnacentral:rRNA from 1 species